CAAUUACAGACUGGUAAGUCUACCAUCAGUACCGGGCAAAUUAGUUGAAACAAUAGUAAAGAAUAAAAUUGUCAGACACAUAGAAGAACAUAAGUUGUUGGGCAAAAGUCAACAUGGUUUCUGUAAAGGGAAAUCAUGUCUUACUAAUCUAUUAGUUCUUUGAAGAGGUCAGCAAACGUGGACAAGGGGGAAUCCAGUGGACAUAGUGUGCUUAGAUUUCCAGAAAGCCUUUCACAAGGUCCCUCACCACAGGCUCUUAUGUAAAUUAAGUUGUCAUGGAAUAAGAGGGAAGAGCCUUUCAUGGAUUGAGAACUGGUUAAAAGAGAGGGAACAAAGGGUAGGAAUAAGUGGUAAAUUAUCAGAAUGGAGAGUUGUGUUCCCCAAGGUGGUCAGUCCUAGGACCAAUCCUAUUCAACUUAUUCAUAAAUGAUCUGGAGCAAGGGAUAAACAGUGAGGUGGCAAAAUUUGCAGACAAUCCUAAACUGCUCAAGAUCGAUAAGACCAAAGGAGACUGUGAAGAACUUCAAAAAGAUCUCACAAAACUAAGUGAUUGGGCAACAAAAUGGCAAAUGAAAUUUAAUGUGGAUAAAUGUAAAGUAAUGCACAUUUGGAAAAAAUAACCCCAAGUAUACAUACAAUAUGAUGGGGGCUAAUUUAGCUACGAAUAAUCAGGAGAAAGAUCUUGGAGUCAUCGUGGAUAGUUCUCUGAAGAUGACAACGAAGUGUGCAGCGGCAGUCAAAAAAGCAAACUAUGUUAGGAAUCAUUAAAAAAGGGAUAGAAAAUAAGACAAGAGUAUCUUAUUGCCCUUAUAUAAAUCCAUGAUACGCCCAUAUCUUGAAUACUGCGUACAGAUGUGGUCCCCUCAUCUCAAAAAGGAUAUACUGGCAUUAGAAAAGGCUCAGAAAAGGGCAACUAAAAUGAUUAGGGGUUUGGAACGGGUCCCAUAGGAGGAGAGAUUAGAGGCUAGGACUUUUCAGCUUGGAAAAGAGGAGACUAAGGGUGGGGGGAUAUGAUAGAGGUAUAUAAAAUCAUGAGUGGUGUGGAGAAAGUGAAUAAGGAAAAAGUUAUUUACUUGUUCCCAUAAUAUAAGAACUAGGGGCCGCCAAAUGAACUUAAUGGGUAGCAGGUUUAAAAUAAAAGGAAGUUUUUCACACAGUGCACAGUCAACCUUUGGAACUCCUUGCCUGAGGAGGUUGUGAAGGCUAGGACUAUAACAGGGUUUAAAAGAGAACUGGAUACAUUUAUGGAGGUUAAGUCCAUUAAUGGCUAUUAGCCAGGAUGGGGUAAGGAAUGGUGUCCCUAGCCUCUGUUUGUCACAGGAUGGAGAUGGAUGGCAGGAGAGAGAUUACCUGCUAGGUUCACUCCCUCUGGGGCACCUGGCAUUGGCCACUGUUGGUAGACAGGAUACUGGGUUGGAUGGACCUUUGGUCUGACCCAGUAUGGCCAUUCUUAUGUUCUUAGCCUCAUUUGCAUCAAAGAUGGAACAGGGAGGCAUCCCAAUUAGCAUACAGAAUGGAGAACAGAGAUUCCAAGGCAAGACCCACACUGAACUCUGGGACCAGGAAAGCACUGCAUGAUAGGGAAUCUCUGCUCCAGAUGGUAAAGAACCCAUGCCUGCACACCCCCAGAUCAGUUCUCAGACCAAUUCUAGUAAUAUAUCCUUUAUUGGUAUCCAAAAUAGUGAAGCUGCUUAAUUGCAUUGUGAGCUCCCUUGUAGGAACACUGCCCAUAGCCAGGAAUGAUCAGUUCCUAUUGUCUAGCCUGAACAAAACAACUUUGGUAUAUUCCCUUGAGCCAAAAGUUUACCCAUAAACAAAUCUAGUGUUCUCCCUUGAACCAUUGUUCUUUCCCUACAAAAAUUUCUACCCAUUCUCAAGUAAGUUCUCUGAUGCCUGGAUCCAAAAUCUGCAUCCGUUCCACUGGGACUUAUCUUCUCCUGACUGAUCGUGCUGGGGGCUCUGCCAGUCUCCAGCACUUGGGACACUCAGCUACCACCACCACCACCUCCUGGGACCCCCAGUGGAUUCAAGCUUCACGGAGUGCUGACACUGAGGUUACCUUCUCCAGACUUGAGGAAGAGCUCUGUGAAGCUUGGAAGCUUGUCCCUGCCAGCAACAGAAGUUACUCAAAAAAUAUUACCUCGCCCACCUUGACAAGUCUGCUGGGUUAGCAAGGUGGUAACAGCAUGUACGCUACUAAAUUUGAUACAGAGCCAGUCUUUAUUCUGGAGUGGUUGGUCUUGCAACAUCCAUACCCAAAAGAUUCUCUUGUUUUGCGACAUGCAAGACUGAUCGUGAGGGAGGUUGGUCUGAACUGGGACAGCACUGUGGUAGAUCUGUGUCAAACUGGGAGUCACUCCGAACAAUGGAGAUCCAGGUUCUACUGCUGAAUGAUGAACCUCAAAGGGAACAUAAAGACACCAAAGAAAAAUGAACCAACACUGGUGGCUUUUUAAAGAUAUGGCUGGUGCUGCUGAAUUUCACUGUCAGAGACAUAUCUGCCAAAUUUGGGAAGUGAUGACUAUGAAGAUUCAAAACAUAUGUGAAGCAUCAUCAACCAAUAUCAGCCAUGCAACGUUGUGACAAAGGAACUUACAGGCAGAAAAUGAGCGCUGAAGACAAGCAGCCUAUCUGAGCAUGAGAAAUUGAACAGUUGUGCAGCCUGCCAUCCACAGUCUAUAUUCCUGUUUUUGGGGGUAAGGGUUAGUGGCAAAGUUGUUUUGCAAAGGUUUCUAGAUAGCCUGGUGAUAAUGACAAUUUUACAUACCUGGAAUGUUGUAUUUUACUCAGAAUUGAUAGUAAUGUCAUUAUACAGGCAAUCUGACUGUCAUAUUCUCUCAGCUCUUAAUUGUCUGGAAGUCAUACUCAAUGAAUUGGGGUGCUUUGUAAACCAAUAACAACGUAAAUUAUAGUCAGCAGCAAGAAUUUUGUGGUGGAAGGGAAUCCUCUCCAGUUGCUGCAUGUCCAAGUCUGUAUCAAUGAUCCUCCUCCAUGUUGCCCGAAGGCCAGCUUUUCAAAGGUAUGUAGAUGCCUGAAGAUGCAGAUAGGCACCUAAGGGGAUUGUCAAAGCACCUAAACAGGUUAGAUGCCUAAGUCUCAUUUAAAUUAAUGCGGGUCAGGCACUUAACUUUUUUGAUAUUCCCACUAGACGCCUAUCUGCACCUUUAAUACCUUUGAAAAUCUGGCCCUCUGUGUUUAAAAUAGAAUCAUUCAUUUUUUCGUCCCCACCUUUAAAUGUAUAAUAAUCCUGGCAGAGUAAACAGACUGUGUUUAGGGGUGCUCCAAAAGUGUUUGGAGACGGAACACUCCCUUACAGGCGAUGCAGUGCCAUCUGCUACAGCCUAUAGGCUAUGGUGGUUUCCAUGGCUGAUACUCCAUGGGGAGGGUCUUACUAGUUCUGUGUUCAGGGCAUUCGGCACGUAUGAUUGGGUGUGGGAGAUGCCAUCGUUUGCCCCCGAGUCACUAUAGAACUCCAGAUUUCUCAAUAACUAAGUAGCAGUUUAUUUGGGUUGGACUCGGAUUGAUGUUGGUUGUACUACCACCUGAUUUAAGUUAUUUCAUGCUUGUUAGCGCCAUAGCAACAUUUGGCUUUUGAUAUUGUCCCAGCAAUUUAUUGCUGGAUUUCUACAGUCAUUUAGGGUUGCCUAUAUUUUUUAAUAUCAGUUGUUAAUAUUGAUGUUUAUUUUUAAGC